GACGAACGCUGGCGGCAGGCUUAACACAUGCAAGUCGAACGCAUCCUUCGGGGUGAGUGGCGGACGGGUGAGUAACGCGUGGGAACGUGCCCUUCAGUUCGGGAUAACCCAGGGAAACUUGGGCUAAUACCGGAUACGUGCGAGAGCAGAAAGAUUUAUCGCUGAAGGAUCGGCCCGCGUCUGAUUAGCUAGUUGGUGGGGUAAUGGCCCACCAAGGCGACGAUCAGUAGCUGGUCUGAGAGGAUGAUCAGCCACAUUGGGACUGAGACACGGCCCAAACUUCUACGGGAGGCAGCAGUGGGGAAUAUUGGACAAUGGGCGCAAGCCUGAUCCAGCCAUGCCGCGUGAGUGAUGAAGGCCUUAGGGUUGUAAAGCUCUUUCGUCCGGGACGAUAAUGACGGUACCGGAAGAAGAAGCCCCGGCCAACUUCGUGCCAGCCGCCGCUGUAA
rnacentral:rRNA from 1 species